rnacentral:lncRNA from 1 species
UUUGGACAGAGUUAUUGGGGGGAGAAUGCGUGAAAAACUAGGGUUCUUCUCAUUUUUCCAUUUUUCAAAGAAGCUAAGUUUCGAUUUUUGGUUGCAAAAAAUGGAGAUGGUUUCCAUUCUGCGCGACUGAAGUUUGGUUGUGUGUUCAUCGCAAAAUUGAAUCAAGGUGUCGAUUCGAGUUUCUGGGGUUCCUUUGCGGUCGAAUUAUGGUUCGUGAUUCUUGUUGCUGCUGUUUUGCUUGUUCAUUUCAAAACUUCAUCGGAAAGUCAGUUUGUAAUCGCAUACAAACAAAUUCAAUCAGAAGCUUUCCACAUUCAGGUUCAUUUCCUUACUCUUUUGGUUCUGUUUUUUGCAGGUUUUGAACGUUGAUUGAUUGCGGAUGAAUUCUCUUCGAUGUAAAUGUGUUCUGUUCUGUCGUUAUGUUAGAAGUAUAUUUUAACUUCGAAUUUGUUUGUCUCCUACUACUAAAGAAUUGAUUACAAGGCUUCAAGAAAUCGAAACAGCUGAUAUAAUUCUUUGUAUAGUUCCCUGAAUCGAAUAGCCUGUUUGUGAAGCUUUGAAAGGAUUGAGCUAAUUGAGUAUUCUGUGAUUUUCUUGGAAUCAUGUUUCGUUUAUGUCAACUGUGUGUUCAUCAAAUUCUUCAGGUGAAAUCUCUUAGACGGUAAACGAGCGUGAACUAUUUGGAUCUCUGCUUGUUUUAAUUAGUGUGAUAGAUUAAUAUCGAAGUAUUGGACCUAAUCUUGAUGGAAUUGUAUUCCAUACGUUGUUCUUGUUGGUGUUUUUCUUGAUGCAAAGUUCAUUAGGUUCAGUUAUCUUGAGGCAAGCGUGAUAUUUACUGGCAUGCUCUUUUCACUCUCGG